GAUGAACGCUGGCGGCGUGCCUAAUACAUGCAAGUCGAGCGAACAGACGAGAGUGCUUUCACUCUCUGACGUUAGCGGCGGACGGGUGAGUAACACGUGGGUAACCUACCUAUAAGACUGGGAUAACUUCGGGAAACCGGAGCUAAUACCGGAUAAUAUUUAGCUUCGCAUGAAGCAAUAGUGAAAGACGGUUCUGCUGUCACUUAUAGAUGGACCCGCGGUGUAUUAGCUAGUUGGUGAGGUAACGGCUCACCAAGGCAACGAUACAUAGCCGACCUGAGAGGGUGAUCGGCCACACUGGGACUGAGACACGGCCCAGACUCCUACGGGAGGCAGCAGUAGGGAAUCUUCCGCAAUGGACGAAAGUCUGACGGAGCAAUGCCGCGUGAGUGAAGAAGGUUUUCGGAUCGUAAAACUCUGUUGUAAGGGAAGAACAAGUACGUUAGUAACUGAACGUACCUUGACGGUACCUUACCAGAAAGCCACGGCUAACUACGUG
rnacentral:rRNA from 1 species